UGAUUGCUUCUACACUGUGAAAAUUUGGCUGAGAGACUCAGACUGGUCAUGGGUAGACCUAUCUGGGGUUUGAUCGAUGCCACUCCUGGUUUCAGGAGUACCCUUCAUAAUAAACCUAGAAAUUCAGUAUUAUAAAGUUUAAUAAAAAACAACUUUUAACAAUGGAUCUCUUGGUUCUCGCAUCGAUGAAGAACGUAGCAAAGUGCGAUAACUAGUGUGAAUUGCAUAUUCAGUGAAUCAUCGAGUCUUUGAACGCAGCUUGCACUCUAUGGUUUUUCUAUAGAGUACGCCUGCUUCAGUAUCAUCACAAACCCACACAUAACAUUUGUUUAUGUGGUGAUGGGUCGCAUCGCUGUUUUAUUACAGUGAGCACCUAAAAUGUGUGUGAUUUUCUGUCUGGCUUGCUAGGCAGGAAUAUUACGCUGGUCUCAGGAUCUUUUUUUUUGGUUCGCCCAGGAAGUAAAGUACAAGAGUAUAAUCCAGUAACUUUCAAACUAUGAUCUGAAGUCAGGUGGGAUUACCCGCUGAACUUAAGCAUAUCAAUAAGCGGAGGAAUA
rnacentral:rRNA from 1 species